rnacentral:rRNA from 1 species
UACGUAGGGAGCAAGCGUUGUCCGGAAUCAUUGGGCGUAAAGCGCGCGUAGGCGGCCUCGUAAGUCCGCUGUAAAAGUCACAGGCCCAACCUGUGAACGCCGGUGGAUACUGCGAGGCUAGAGUCCGGAAGAGGCGAGUGGAACUCCUGGUGUAGCGGUGGAAUGCGCAGAUAUCAGGAAGAACACCAACGGCGAAGGCAGCUCGCUGGGACGGUACUGACGCUGAGGCGCGAAAGCGUGGGGAGCGAACAGG